UACGUAGGGCGCAAGCGUUGUCCGGAAUUAUUGGGCGUAAAGAGCUCGUAGGUGGUUUGUUACGUCUGCGUGAAAACCUAGGGCUUAACCCUGGGCCUGCAGUGGAUACGGGCAGACUAGAGGUAGGUAGGGGAGAAUGGAAUUCCCGGUGUAGCGGUGAAAUGCGCAGAUAUCGGGAGGAACACCGGUGGCGAAGGCGGUUCUCUGGGCCUUACCUGACACUGAGGAGCGAAAGCGUGGGGAGCGAACAGG
rnacentral:rRNA from 1 species